rnacentral:lncRNA from 1 species
AACAGAGGCAGCUUGGGGCAGUAGAUGACGAUUCAGUGUGGAUUGUACUGAGCUUGAGGUGACUGUGUGACACAUGUGGAGGUCGAAGUGGAGGGACAGUAUCCAGUGGAAGUAGACAAAUUGCUGGUGGUGAGCAGCCCUGGUGCCCUGCGGACAGGACCCUGCAGGGCAGCUGGCUGUCCCCAGGAGUCUGAGAAGGAGCAGCCAGAAGGAUAGAGCCAGGAGAGCAAUGCUGCAGCAAUGGCACCAUCAGUGAGGAAGCAGUGGGUGACAUAAUUUGGGGAUGACAAGGACAACAGAUCAGAGAUGGCUGGCAUUGAAAGGCAGUUUGUUAGACUCAGAUCUGAAGAGGAGGUUGCAUGUCACACCAUGGGGGCUGCCCAGGAAGCACCAGGCCUGACAUGGGACACAGAAAGAGGAGGACAGAGACUGCCUUCUGGUAAGAUCUUUCUUGGGCCUGUCUGCGGGGCAGCAGCUCCUGGCAGAGAUCCUAGAGCACAUGGGCUGUGGAGCUGCUUGGACCAUCAGCCUCAACCUCAGGGCUUUGGUCUGGCUGAGCUCAGCUGUUUACAGUCUGCAGCAGGCCGGGGAAGGCCAGAAAGGGCUGUGUGAGCGUGUGCUGUAUGGAACAGCAUGGGAGUUUCAGUUUCUCUGGGCAAGAUCAUGGGGAGCACCCCAAGAGCUUAGGCAGUGAUUAACCUUCGAAGAACUCAGGGGGAGGAGCAAAAAAGAGAAUGCCCAGAAAAUUACCUCAGCUGCAGCUUCUUCACAUGGAAACGCAGGACCUGGCACAUGGAGCAGACCCCCUAUACCACUCCUUCCCUAGCAACUCUGGACCCAGAACCCAGAAAGCUGCCUCCUGCCCAGUCAUAACCCCACUUUAGCCCAUUUUUACUGGAAAUCUG